AUUGAACGCUGGCGGCAUGCCUUACACAUGCAAGUCGAACGGUAACAGGUCUUCGGAUGCUGACGAGUGGCGAACGGGUGAGUAAUACAUCGGAACGUGCCCGAUCGUGGGGGAUAACGAGGCGAAAGCUUUGCUAAUACCGCAUACGAUCUACGGAUGAAAGCGGGGGAUCUUCGGACCUCGCGCGGACGGAGCGGCCGAUGGCAGAUUAGGUAGUUGGUGGGAUAAAAGCUUACCAAGCCGACGAUCUGUAGCUGGUCUGAGAGGAUGAUCAGCCACACUGGGACUGAGACACGGCCCAGACUCCUACGGGAGGCAGCAGUGGGGAAUUUUGGACAAUGGGCGAAAGCCUGAUCCAGCCAUGCCGCGUGCAGGAUGAGGGCCUUUGGGUUGUAAACUGCUUUUGUACGGAACGAAAAGCCUCUUUCUAAUAAAGAGGGGUCAUGACGGUACCGUAAGAAUAAGCACCGGCUAACUACGUG
rnacentral:rRNA from 1 species